UAAGGAAUAUUGGACAAUGGAGGAAACUCUGAUCCAGCCAUGCAGCGUGCAGGAAGACGGCCCUAUGGGUUGUAAACUGCUUUUAUACAGGAAGAAUCCUUUUCACGUGUGAGAAGUUGACGGUACUGUACGAAUAAGGAUCGGCUAACUCCGUGCCAGCAGCCGCGGUAAUACGGAGGAUCCAAGCGUUAUCCGGAAUUAUUGGGUUUAAAGGGUCCGCAGGCGGUCUAUUAAGUCAGAGGUGAAAUCCUACCGCUCAACGGUGGAAUGGCCUUUGAUACUGAUAGACUUGAGUUAUUGUGAAGUAGUUAGAAUGUGUAGUGUAGCGGUGAAAUGCAUAGAUAUUACACAGAAUACCAAUUGCGAAGGCAGAUUACUAACAAUAUACUGACGCUGAGGGACGAAAGCGUGGGUAGCGAACAGG
rnacentral:rRNA from 1 species